AAAACACCAUUCAUAUAAAUUAAAAGUAUGAACUACCACCUCCUGGCCUUUUUUUUAAAAAGCACCAAAAGUCCAGGAGGUGGUAGUACACACUUUUAAUUCCAGCACUUGGGAGGCAGA
rnacentral:precursor_RNA from 7 species